UGGUUGAUUCUUGAAGUGAACCGCUGACUGGUUACUCGAGCGGUUUAUUUUCUUUUACUAGCUACACAAAUCGAGAGCAAGCUAGCCAUCACAUGAGACAAUUUUGCGAGUACGGACAGAGCUAGAGGAGAAAACUGUUCCCUCGUGAAAUCAGCUCAGCAGCUCACUCACCUGGAGAAAUGAGAAGGAAACUAAAAAUGUUCAGUGGUGUUCAAUAUCAAAAGAAUAUCAAGGCGUUAAUCUCACCGAAAGAAUUAGGAAUUUUGUCAAAGAGCAAGAUAAACUCUGUCUUGUUUCCAAAGAUACAACUCUUUUGGGAGCCAAGAAAAUCCCCGCCAAAUAUUAAAGUAAUGCAUUUUUGCUAAUAUACUGGAAAACCAUUGUUAGUUCUUGAUCCUAGAAAGCUCAUUAAAAAGUUUUGAAAUCUCA